rnacentral:rRNA from 1 species
UACGUAGGGUGCGAGCGUUGUCCGGAAUUAUUGGGCGUAAAGCGCUCGUAGGCGGUCUGUCGCGUCGGCUGUGAAAUCCCGAGGCUCAACCUCGGGUCUGCAGUCGAUACGGGCAAACUGGAGUGUUGCAGGGGAGACUGGAAUUCCUGGUGUAGCGGUGAAAUGCGCAGAUAUCAGGAGGAACACCGGUGGCGAAGGCGGGUCUCUGGGCAACAACUGACGCUGAGGAGCGAAAGCGUGGGGAGCGAACAGG